rnacentral:rRNA from 1 species
UACGUAGGGGCGAGCGUUGUCCGGAAUUACUGGGCGUAAAGGGCGCGUAGGCGGCUUGUUAAGUCUCGUGUGAAAAACCUGCUUUCAAGGCAGGAGGUGCACGGGAAACUGGCAAGCUUGAGUGCAGGAGAGGAAAGUGGAAUUCCAAGUGUAGCGGUGAAAUGCGUAGAUAUUUGGAGGAACACCAGUGGCGAAGGCGACUUUCUGGACUGUAACUGACGCUGAGGCGCGAAAGCGUGGAGAGCAAACAGGAUUAGAUACCCGCGUAGU